AGCUCCAAUAGCGUAUAUUAAAGUUGUUGCGGUUAAAAAGCUCGUAGUUGGAUUUUGGAGCUUAAACUGUCAGUCCGGUGUGAUCACUGGUACGGAUGGUUGGGUUCUUCUGUCUGGAGGCCGGGGGGCGUUCUUCAACGUUCGUCUCUCGGGAUCUAGGACUUUUACUUUGAACAAAUUAGAGUGUUUAAAGCAGGCAGUCGCCUUGAAUACAUUAGCAUGGAAUAACCAAAUAGGACUUUGGUUCUAUUUUGUUGGUUUUAAGAACCGAAGUAAUGAUUAAUAGGGACGGUUGGGGGCAUUAGUAUUUAAUUGUCAGAGGUGAAAUUCUUAGAUUUAUGAAAGACUAACUUCUGCGAAAGCAUUUGCCAAGGAUGUUUUCAUUAAUCAAGAACGAAAG
rnacentral:rRNA from 1 species